rnacentral:SRP_RNA from 2 species
GCCAGGCACGGUGGCCCAUGCCUGUAAUCCCAGCACUUUGGGAGGCUGAGGUGGGUGGAUCACCUGAGGUCAGGAGUUCGAGACCAGCCUGGCCAAUAUGGUGAAAACCUGUCUCUA